ensembl:snRNA Gm25797 U6 spliceosomal RNA
GUGCUUGCUUCAGCAGUACAUAUACUAAAAUUGGAAUGAUACAGAGAUGAUUAGAAUGGCCUCCAUACAAGGAUAACAUGCAAGUUCCUGAAGUACUACAUAUUUUU